CCAAACUGUAUACAUCCCCCAUAUAGGUGAGAAAUCACUAUAUUCAAGCAUCAGAUUCAGAUGAAGUCGAAUUGGAAGAGGCAUUUCCAGGAUUAGUAGCAAAGUGCAACUCAGGAAGCACCAAACACUUUGGCGGGGCACCUUUGUAAGCCUUCAAGGAUGGCUUCAGUUUCAUGUACUCCUGAUAAAAAGCAUUAAUUUCUUCCUCUUUCAGGCUUUCCUCUUCCGCAGCAUUUUCAUCCCAAC
rnacentral:misc_RNA from 1 species